CGCUAAACAGCUAGCCGAAAGACCCAGCAAAUACCCCCAUAUAAAUACCCCAAAAUAACUUUAAACUUAACAAACAAACCAUUUUUCCCUCCUAGUACGGGCGACAGAAAAGAGACUCACCGAGCAAUAGAUACAGUACCGCAAGGGAAAGCUGAAAAAGAAGUGAAAUAAACCAUCUAAGCCUUAAAAAGCAGAGAUUAAAACUCGUACCUUUUGCAUCAUGAUUUAGCUAGUACAGCCUAAGCAAAGAGCCCUUUAGUUUGGUAACCCGAAACUGGAGCGAGCUACUCCAAGACAGCCUAUAGCAGGGCAAACCCGUCUCUGUGGCAAAAGAGUGGGAAGAGCUUUGAGUAGAGGUGAUAGACCUACCGAGCCCAGUUAUAGCUGGUUUCCUAAGAAAUGGAUAGAAGUUCAGCCCCCCAACUUACCACCCCAUCACAGCCCAACCCAAUUUGGACACAGGUAAAUUGAGGGAGUUAGUCAAAGAAGGUACAGCUCCUUUGAAACAAGACACAACUUUAACAGGAGAUUAAAGAUCAUAAUUAAUAAAGUAAAGUGCUACAGUGGGCCUAAAAGCAGCCACCUUAACAGAAAGCGUUAAAGCUCAAACACAUAUACCAGCCCAAUAUACUGAUAAUUUAUCUAACCCCCCUAACCUUAUUAGGUCCUCUUAUGCAACCAUAUGAGAGACCAUGCUAAUAUGAGUAAUAAGAAGGUAUUAGACCUUCUCCUAGCACACGCGUACAUCGGAACGGACCACCCACCGACCCUUAACCGGCCCCAAACAAAGAGGGUAUUGAACAAUAAAAUAAAAUACUAGAAAAACACUCAAUACUAUGCCGUUACCCCCACACCGGAGUGCAAACAAGGAAAGACUAAAAGAAAAAGAAGGAACUCGGCAAACACAAACCUCGCCUGUUUACCAAAAACAUCGCCUCUUGCAAUUACAACUAUAAGAGGUCCCGCCUGCCCUGUGACUAUAUGUUUAACGGCCGCGGUAUUUUGACCGUGCGAAGGUAGCGCAAUCACUUGUCUUUUAAAUAAAGACCCGUAUGAAUGGCAUAACGAGGGAUUAACUGUCUCCUUUUUCUAGUCAAUGAAAUUGAUCUCCCCGUGCAGAAGCGGGGAUAUAAACAUAAGACGAGAAGACCCUAUGGAGCUUCAGACAUACUAGCAGACCAUACCGAACGCCCUAAACUAAAAGGACUAACUCUUUCUGCCCCCUGCUUAAAUGUUUUUGGUUGGGGCGACCGCGGGGAAAAACAAAACCCCCACGUGGAAUGAGAAAACCCCCUCCCACAACUAAGAGCCACCACCCUAAGUAACAGAAUCUCUGACCAAAGUGAUCCGGCAAUGCCGAUCAACGAACCGAGUUACCCUAGGGAUAACAGCGCAAUCCCCUUCCAGAGCCCAUAUCGACAAGGGGGUUUACGACCUCGAUGUUGGAUCAGGACAUCCUAAUGGUGCAGCCGCUAUUAAGGGUUCGUUUGUUCAACGAUUAAAGUCCUACGUGAUCUGAGUUCAGACCGGAGUAAUCCAGGUCAGUUUCUAUCUAUGAUAUGAUCUUUUCUAGUACGAAAGGACCGAAAAGGAAAGGCCCAUGCUUAAAGUAAGCCUUACCCCCACCUAAUGAAGACAACUAAAUUAGGCAAGAGGGCAUAACCCUUUAGCCAAAAAACAUGGCGU
rnacentral:rRNA from 1 species